rnacentral:rRNA from 1 species
AGUGAACGCUGGCGGUAGGCCUAACACAUGCAAGUCGAACGGCAGCACAGUAAGAGCUUGCUCUUACGGGUGGCGAGUGGCGGACGGGUGAGGAAUACAUCGGAAUCUACUUUUUCGUGGGGGAUAACGUAGGGAAACUUACGCUAAUACCGCAUACGACCUACGGGUGAAAGCAGGGGAUCUUCGGACCUUGCGCGAUUGAAUGAGCCGAUGUCGGAUUAGCUAGUUGGCGGGGUAAAGGCCCACCAAGGCGACGAUCCGUAGCUGGCCUGAGAGGAUGAUCAGCCACACUGGAACUGAGACACGGUCCAGACUCCUACGGGAGGCAGCAGUGGGGAAUAUUGGACAAUGGGCGCAAGCCUGAUCCAGCCAUACCGCGUGGGUGAAGAAGGCCUUCAGGUUGUAAAGCCCUUUUGUUGGGAAAGAAAAGCAGCAGGUUAAUACCCCGCUGUUCUGACGGUACCCAAAGAAUAAGCACCGGCUAACUUCGUG